GGACCGAUAUAUCGGUCGUGCCUCGGUACGUACUGGUAUUUUCGGUUUCUCCCUUCUGACGAACCUUGAUGUCAUUAAUUUGAUGACUUUGAGGAAUCGGAACUUUUACUUUGAAAAAAUUAGAGUGUUUAAAGCAGGCUUAUUAGGCUUGAAUACAUUAGCAUGGAAUAAUGAAAUAGGACGAUUGAUCCUAUUUUUGUUGGUUUCUAGGAUCACCGUA
rnacentral:rRNA from 1 species